rnacentral:lncRNA from 1 species
UAUGUGCACAUGUACCCAGACCAAAGUUCAGCUUGGUUUUUUUGUUGUUUGUUUGUUUGUUUGUUUGUUUGCUUUUUUAUUUUUUUUUACAAAAAUGCCAAAACAAUUCAGUAGGGAAAAAAUAGUCUUUUCCAGCACAUGUUAGGACACCCGAUACAAGCAAAUAAAUGAAGUUGAACCUGUUUCAAAUGACAUACAAAACUCUCUUGGUAGAUCAAAGACCUUUAUCAAAUGACAUACAAAACUCUCUCGGUAGAGCAAAGACCUUUAUCAAAUGACAUACAAAACUCUCUCGGUAGAGCAAAGACCUUAAUGUCAGAACUAAAUUAAAACUCCUAGUAGACAGAGAUAAUCUGUAGAUUCCUAGAUAGGAAAUCAUCAAAACCACAAACACUAAAAGGAAGAAAAAGGCUAAAAAAGUAGGCUUUAUCACAAUUAAUAUAGAAAACACAUAGAAGAAUACUUUAAAAGUUAUCUGGGACAAAGUAUCUGGGAAAAUGUCAUGAUGAAACCCAUUAUUUUACACAAACAAAAAUGUUAAAUUAUCUGAUAAAAGAAAUUUCUUGAAGUUUGCAUUUCAAUAAAGAGACAGUUUUCCUGAUUUAAAGGUGGGCAAGAGGGCUUGAGAGAUGGCUCAGGUAAAGAGGUGCUUGCUGCCAAGCCUGAUCGUGAGAGUUGAAUCAGCAGGACCCACGCAGUGGAGGGAGAAGGUCAACUCAGCAAAAACUUAUCCUCUGUCUGUCACAUGUGUACUGUGGCAUGCCUGCCUCCCACUCCUGCUAAACAAAUACAUGGGAUUUUUAAAUAUAAUUUUAUAAAAUAAAACAGGGGCUGAAGACAUGGCUCAGUAGUUAAGAACAUUUUGAGUAGUUCACAACUGAUUGUAACUCCAGCUCUGGGAGAUCCAGCAUCCUCUUGGACCUACAGGGUGUUCAUGCUUGCACACUUGCUAACACACAUACAUAUACAGAAAUAAAACAAUCUUGUUUACAAAUGUAAAUGGGCAUGGAUAUAAAUAGACAUUUUUUUUCUAAAGGAGAUAAUAUGGAUGGCCAAUAAGCACAUGAAUAAGUGCUUAAAAUUGUAAGUCCUCUGGUCUUAAGGGCACACCUUUGUAACGGGACUUUUUUGGACCUGCCAGAUACGUAAAUAAUGACACGGAGUCUUUUAACAUUUAAAAGCUUAGAAUGCCUUAGCUGGGCAGUCUCCCAACUACUCUAUCCCAACUACUUCUGGCCAACUUCCUGGCACAUGGCCAAAUCUACGUUUCUGCUCCACUGUGGUCUAUCCAUCCACCUCAAGUCUGCUGGCGAAUUCCCUUCUGAUUUCUUCUCUCAGAGAACCCUCUCUCUGCACAAUGCUCUGGCCACUCCUUGAACCCGUGUGUCUGCCAAUGUUUUGACCGUUCCUUGAACCCAUGUGUGUGCCAACUGAUGAAGCCCAUUGCCAGGUGUUUGUGAUAUUGGUUGCUGGGGAAAGAGUCAGAAAAUCUCCCCAGCAACCACAGCCAGGCCAAUCCGGAGUUGCUACACCUGCACCAGACUCUUUCCUUGUACCCCUCCCAUACCCAUUUCUUGAGAAUAGACAUUGUUUAGAUCUGGAAAUCCCCUACUCUCCCCUUCUCCUUUCCCCCCUGAGGGCCUAUAAAAACUGGGACCCCUUUGCCCUCGAGGUCGACUCCUCUACCCCUGCGUGGGAUAUGAGUCGUCCCCAGAGUUCUGGCUUUCCUUGAAUAAAGCCUCAUGUGGUUUGCAUCAAGCUUGGUCUCUCGUGAGUUCUUGGGGGGUCCGCUAUUGUCCCGUGGCUUGAGCGAGGGGCUCCUCUCAGGGCCUUUCAAAACCACUAACAGAUGUAACAACUUCAAUGGUUUGAAAAAGACGUUCCGCCAGAGUCUUAAGCAUGUGAACACUUCACAGCAAUAAGACAGUAACUGAGACACCCACCUAUGCCCUCCUUGUGAUGGUACUGGACUAUCAGCUUG